UGGGGAAUAUUGGACAAUGGGCGAAAGCCUGAUCCAGCCAUGCCGCGUGUGUGAAGAAGGUCUUCGGAUUGUAAAGCACUUUAAGUUGGGAGGAAGGGCAUUAACCUAAUACGUUAGUGUUUUGACGUUACCGACAGAAUAAGCACCGGCUAACUCUGUGCCAGCAGCCGCGGUAAUACAGAGGGUGCAAGCGUUAAUCGGAAUUACUGGGCGUAAAGCGCGCGUAGGUGGUUUGUUAAGUUGGAUGUGAAAUCCCCGGGCUCAACCUGGGAACUGCAUUCAAAACUGACUGACUAGAGUAUGGAGAGGGUGGUGGAAUUUCCUGUGUAGCGGUGAAAUGCGUAGAUAUAGGAAGGAACACCAGUGGCGAAGGCGACCACCUGGACUAAUACUGACACUGAGGUGCGAAAGCGUGGGGAGCAAACA
rnacentral:rRNA from 1 species